UGAAACAAGCAGUAACACCAAGCAGUGAAUUAAGUGUGAAGUAGCACUUAAAUAUUGCAGGCCGGGCUUGUGAAUAUGAACCCUUUUGGGGAUCCCCACUUUUUCUGUGGGCAAAGAUUUUUCUCCCUGCAAAAUGCAAGUUAACAAUUCACUGUUCUGGUGAGUCCAAGUCCCGCUUGCAGAUUGUUUCACUGCUUUGACUGCUGAAUGCCUGUGACAUGGAGUGUGCAGAACUUGAAGAGGUCCAUCUGCUAAGGGAAAUAAUCCUGUGUCAUUGCAAAAUAUGUUUCUGGGUGUGCAUGCAUUUCUCUGUGCUCCUUCUUUGUCAUGAUUCCUCGAUUUAAUUUAAAUACAUGUUUCACUUCUCUCCAUAUUUCAGGUUUAUUGCAGAGUAUGAAAAUCAGGAAGCUUUUUGUUCACUUCAUACAUCUCUUCCAACAAAGCCAGACAUCCAAACCCGCCACAGACUCCAGAGUGAUUAUUGUUACACAUGAUCUAUGGAGCAGAUAAAUUGCAACUUGAUUUUUAUAAGGAAAUCUGGAAAACAGCACACUCAGAACCAGGGCAGAGCAUGGAUUUUCCCACUUUGCUGAAUUCCUGCAGGGAGAGAUGCAAAACCCAGUUGGAUGUGAGGGAACCAUCAGCACGAGCUCCUGAGCCAAAAUAGGAGCUGAAGCCCCAGAAAGUGGUGGGGUAGAGCUGUGAAUCCUAGCAACAGGCGGGGAAAGAACUGUACGUUUCCUCACGUCCUCCAAGUGUUGGUGCCUUCUGGUACAUCAUUGACAGGAAGAGACACAGACCAUGGAAAGGCCCUCCUUGCUGAUGCAUCAAGAAAGGGCACAUUUUUUCCAGUGGGAUGGGUAGCAAAGGAAAGUGGUGCUUUGAAGAAUAAACCCCUCUGCCUUCAGAACGAAGCUCAGGCUACACAGGAGGCUGGAGCAACUUACAGAUUCUAUUCAGGCUCCUCUCUGGGCAUGCUGGGUGACCUUGUGUUCUCCCAUUUUCCUCUGGGGGAGAUAUUAUUUAUCCCUGAUAAUAAAACACAGGAUUCUUCAACUGCUACUCGUGGUUUAAUCUAUUGUGUCAACUUACACAAGCUCUCUUGGAAAAAAAGGAAGAUCAGA